rnacentral:rRNA from 1 species
CGAACGGUAACAGGAAGAAGCUUGCUUCUUUGGCUGACGAGUGGCGGACGGGUGAGUAAUGUCUGGGAAACUGCCUGAUGGAGGGGGAUAACUACUGGAAACGGUAGCUAAUACCGCAUAACGUCGCAAGACCAAAAAGGGGGACCUUCGGGCCUCUUGCCAUCGGAUGUGCCCAGAUGGGAUUAGCUAGUAGGUGGGGUAACGGCUCACCUAGGCGACGAUCCCUAGCUGGUCUGAGAGGAUGACCAGCCACACUGGAACUGAGACACGGUCCAGACUCCUACGGGAGGCAACAGUGGGGAAUAUUGCACAAUGGGCGCAAGCCUGACGCAGCCAUGCCGCGUGUAUGAAGAAGGCCUUCGGGUUGUAAAGUACUUUCAGCGGGGAGGAAGGGAGUAAAGUUAAUACCUUUGCUCAUUGACGUUACCCGCAGAAGAAGCACCGGCUAACUCCGUGCCAGCAGCCGCGGUAAUACGGAGGGUGCAAGCGUUAAUCGGAAUUACUGGGCGUAAAGCGCACGCAGGCGGUUUGUUAAGUCAGAUGUGAAAUCCCCGGGCUCAACCUGGGAACUGCAUCUGAUACUGGCAAGCUUGAGUCUCGUAGAGGGGGGUAGAAUUCCAGGUGUAGCGGUGAAAUGCGUAGAGAUCUGGAGGAUACCGGUGGCGAAGGCGGCCCCCUGGACGAAGACUGAC